rnacentral:lncRNA from 1 species
UUAUAUCACAAAAUCUUUCAUUUCACAUUUAAAUAUUAUUAGUAUAUAUUACAAAUUCCAAAACUUCAAUAACAAAAAUAUGAGAUAUCCUACUCUCAUAACUAAAUAAUCCAAAUUCAAUACAUAAAAAUUUCUACCAUCCAAUCAAAUGCCUACUCCUUGUGACUAAAUUUAAUAAAUCUAGAAGCUAAAUUGAGAAGGAUGACUACCUUUCACUCUUUGAAUAUGAGUAGUAUAAUUGCGUUAUCACACCAGCAGCUUCUCCAUUCAAUAGACUGUAUGGGUUAGGAUAUAAGUGAAGUUGAGGAAUAAACACUUCAAACACAUUGAUCAAAUCUAAAUAUGAAUGCAGGAAAAGAAAAAAAAAUUAGCUGUCAAUAUCCAGCCAUUAGAGAAACAACAAUUAACAGAAAUAAAAUUAUUUUGUUCGAAAGAAAAAAAUACUCAUAAGCUAUUUAUAAAUAAACUCAAUUAUUCUCUUUUGGUAAAGAUUAUAUAUAUAGCAAACUAUCACAGACAAGAAGUUUUCAAUGCAAUAUCUACUUUCAGCACAAGCAUGUUACUCUAUCUACAUAUACCAAAUGAUUUUUGUGCAUAGUUAAAAGCUAUCACAAAUGCUCUAUUAUAAAUAAAUCACCACUCAUUUCCUCAAUUUAUUCAUUCUAAAAGCUUAUUUAACAAGGUAAAAAAUAAGUCCUCAAAUUGGGCAUAAAAUAACUAUGAAUCUCCAUAUUUAUAUUAGGCAUAAUAAAGUUUGGACAUAAAAUAUUUCAAUAAUUUGAGAGUUCGAUCCAAAAUUAUUACUACUAAAAGAAAUAAUAUUUACAAACUUAGUUAAGCCUUUAUAAAGUGAGUAUGAGAUUUAUUAUACUACUUAAAUAUAUUCAUGUGAACCAUUUAAAGAAUAUCACCCUAAAUUGUAAUUAAGUAUUCAUUAAUUUUGCCUAAUUAUAAAACUUUAAGAAGAUAAAAAAAAGUAGAAUAAAAAUAAAAUCAUUAUAUAUUUCCACUCACAAGUAAUGUUGCUUUAACUUGAUUGACAUCAUAACCCAAAAUCACUUUAAACAUUUUUCCUAAACCUAGAAAGGGAAAAAAAAAAACAAACUUCAAAUAUAAUUAUUAUAUAUUAAGACAUGCAUAUAUAACAUAACCAUUUACUAGAAUAUUCAUGGAAUAAUCCAUAGUUCUUAAAAUUAAUAUGCUACACUAAGUAUAUAUUUGAUACAGUAAAUUAAUUUUCAAACUAUUACUCAUAUGCUCAUCAUCCAAAAUCAUUUCUGGGAAGCCUUCAAACCAACACAAAACAAGAAUGUCAAACUCAAACCAACACAAAACAAGAAUGUCAAACCCAAAUCAAUCGCAAACCAUAGAAAUCAAUAAUCGGGCUAAUAUUUAAGUUAAAUUAGUUCAAUUAAAAAGAAUAGCUAACAAGCUCCUAGCUUUCUGGAACCACCCGGCUGGUCCUAAAACCAUUCAUUUUUGGGCUCCAACUACAUUAGUAAUUGGUACUUAAAUACAUAUUUAUAAAAUUUAAGAUACUUAAUACAUUGGAUUGAUAUUUUCCAAUUUUUAACAACACAUAUGAAUGAACAACAUAUUAAAAUUUGAGGUUAUUCUGAUAUUAUUAUGCUGGUGUUUUGUAAGAUCAAAAGUUAAUAAAUAGUUAUGUCAAAAGAACUUGCUGCAGAGCAGCAGAGUUUAAAAAAUCAUUAAAAAUAACCUGCAAGUUCAAUCAACAUAAAAUUUUUCAGAUUUGAAGUAUGCAUAUAGAACUUUAGUUUCUCCGAAUUUCAGCUCAUUCAAACAUGUGUAGACUAUUGUUUUGCACCACCAAACAUGAUACAUGAGUAAUUUAUGAAAGAUUGGACAGCAACCAACUAUUUUGAAAAAUCGAUUAAAAAUCAGUUAUAGACCCAAUUCAUUCCAAAAUUUCCAGAACUGAAACAUACACAUUUAACUUUAAUUAUUUCAAACAUAUGGUAAACUUUGGACAAAAUAUUUCAAUAAUUUGAGAGUUCGUUCCAAAAUCAUUACUUAUAAACAAGUCUUAUGAUUUUGGCCAUCAAUCAUAUAAAUAUAAAUAAGGAAAAUUAAACUACUGAAGUAGAUAUUGCCUUAUUAUGAACAUAAAUAUAAAUAAGACAAAUCUAAUAUUGCCUUAGUAAUGAACUGAAGAAACGAAAUUCUAUUUUGCCCUGUAAACAAAUCCAUUAAAGAAAUGAUAAAGACACCUCAUUUCUCAAACUAAGCCACAUACUUCAAACUUUUCCUUUGUAAAAGCAUCUAUUUGAUAGUUUGUAAUAAGUAAUCAUCCAAUGAGACUAUUUAUAGUAAAUAAAAAUUGAAAUCUAUUUAAUAUGAACAAAACUAAAAAAUAACAGCCGAAAAAAAAAUGAAAAGAUUACUUUUGAAAAAAAUAAUAAUAACACAUGAACAAAUGGUUAAUAAGCCAUAAAUAAAUUAGAAAAUUUUAGGAUUUUAGUGUAAAAAAUGUUUAAUGUCGUUCAUCAGCGAAAUAAAGUUAACCUUAUAGUGACGAUCACCCUAAACACAAUAUUUUCCAAAGUAGAUAUAAUGAAGGCUAUUUGGUGCCAAUAAAAGAAAAGAAAGUAGUAGAGAAAAAAAACACAAUAAAAGCUAAAUCUUUACCUUCUUGUUUCUUCCAAGUAGCCAAAGAAACAAUACCUUCUAGUUUCUUCCAAGUAGCCAAAGAAACAUAGAAGCUCUUCUCCAAAUCACUUAUUUAAACCUAAAAGAACAAUUAAAACAAAAAAAAAACUCACGAUCUAAUGACAAUAAGAAAGACCCGAAAUCAUAAAAUAAGAAAAGAAAUAAGAAGUCAGGAUUUUGAAGGCAAAUGGUGAACCUGUGCCACCAGUUUGACAGGAUCAUGGCUAAGCAUUUUUUGACAAUUUGGAUGUUAGGGAUUUUUCAGAUCUGGGGAGCUAAGGAGGGAACGAAUAUUUUGGUAGAGGGAAUUGAAAAGUUA